UACGUAGGGGGCAAGCGUUGUCCGGAAUCACUGGGCGUAAAGAGCGUGUAGGCGGCCCGAUAAGUCCGCUGUGAAAGUCCAGGGCUCAACCCUGGGGUGCCGGUGGAUACUGUCGGGCUCGAGUCCGGAAGAGGAGUGUGGAAUUCCUGGUGUAGCGGUGAAAUGCGCAGAUAUCAGGAGGAACACCAAUGGCGAAGGCAGCACUCUGGGACGUGACUGACGCUGAGACGCGAAAGCGUGGGGAGCAAACAGG
rnacentral:rRNA from 1 species